rnacentral:rRNA from 1 species
UACGAAGGGGGCUAGCGUUGUUCGGAAUUACUGGGCGUAAAGCGCGUGUAGGCGGGUCUUUAAGUCAGGGGUGAAAUGCCAGGGCUCAACCUUGGAACUGCCUUUGAUACUGGAGACCUUGAGUCCGGGAGAGGUGAAUGGAAUUGCGAGUGUAGAGGUGAAAUUCGUAGAUAUUCGCAAGAACACCAGUGGCGAAGGCGGCUCACUGGCCCGGAACUGACGCUGAGACGCGAAAGCGUGGGGAGCAAACAGG